UACGUAGGCAGCAAGCGUUGUUCGGAAUUACUGGGCGUAAAGAGUGUGUAGGCGGUGCUCUAAGUUCGUUGUGAAAUCUCCCGGCUUAACUGGGAGGGUGCGGCGGAAACUGGAGUGCUUGAGCGCGGGAGAGGAAAGCGGAAUUCCUGGUGUAGCGGUGAAAUGCGUAGAUAUCAGGAGGAACACCUGUGGUGUAGACGGCUUUCUGGACCGUAGCUGACGCUGAGACACGAAAUCGUGGGUAGCAAACAGG
rnacentral:rRNA from 1 species